GACGAGGGGUCCUAGCGUUGUUCGGAAUCACUGGGCGUAAAGCGUAUGUAGGCGGCUUUUCAAGUCAGGUGUGAAAUCCCAUGGCUUAACCAUGGAACUGCACUUGAAACUGUAAAGCUUGAGUAUUGGAGAGGAUGGUAGAAUUCCUGGUGUAGUGGUGAAAUACGUAGAUAUCAGGAGGAAUACCGGUGGCGAAGGCGCCAUCUGGCCAAAUACUGACGCUGAGAUACGAAAGUGUGGGGAUCAAACAGG
rnacentral:rRNA from 1 species